CCGGUGAUGUAGUUCCAGCCCAAACCGUUGAUGGAGCUCCUUCCACAACUGAUACAGGAGCAACACAAGCCGCGCCUGAUGUAGCACCAAAACAAGACGCAUCUGCCGCAUCU